AUCCCUUCGGGGUGAUUGCUUUGUGACUGAGUGGCGGACGGGUGAGUAACGCGUGGGUAACCUGCCUCAUACAGGGGGAUAACAGCUGGAAACGGCUGCUAAUACCGCAUAAGCGCACAGUACCGCAUGGUACAGUGUGAAAAACUCCGGUGGUAUGGGAUGGACCCGCGUCUGAUUAGCUGGUUGGUGAGGUAACGGCCCACCAAGGCGACGAUCAGUAGCCGGCCUGAGAGGGUGAACGGCCACAUUGGGACUGAGACACGGCCCAAACUCC
rnacentral:rRNA from 1 species